rnacentral:rRNA from 1 species
GUAAGUAUAGUAAGGGCGGACGGGGGAUCCCUUGGCAGUCGAGGGCGAUGAAGGGCGCGGCCAGCUGCGAUAAGCCCCGGGGAGCCGCUGAGCAGGCUACGAUCCGAGGAUGCCCGAAUGGGGAAACCCAUCGCGCUGUUGAGGCGCGAUAUCCAGAGCCGAAAAUCCAAGUAAGCCCUGGAGGCGAACCCCGCGAAGUGAAACAUCUCAGUAGCGGGAGGAGGAGAAAUCAACCGAGAUUCCCCUAGUAGCGGCGAGCGAACGGGGAACAGCCCAAACCAUGUGGGUGUAAGGCCACAGCCGUUGCCCAUGUGGGGUUGAGGGAUGAUGGCAGAGGUCCCUGUGGGGACCUCGGGAAGUUACCAAGGCCUUUUCUAGCCGAACAGCCAGCAAAGCCACUGGAAAGGGCGACCGAAGAGGGCGAUAGUCCCGUAGGCGAAAGGGAAGGCCCUUCCUGGUCAUCAUCCCGAGUAGUGUCGGACACGUGAAAUCCGGCGCGAAGCUGGGGGGACCACCCUCCAAGGCUAAAUACCGACGACUGACCGAUAGCGCACCAGUACCGCGAGGGAAAGGUGAAAAGGACCCCGGGAGGGGAGUGAAAUAGAACGUGAAACCGUCCGCCUACAGUGCAGUGGGAGCCGGGAACCAACCUCUUCGGGGGUUGGGGAACGGUGACCGCGUGCCUUUUGCAGUAUGAGCCGGCGAGUUGUGCUCCGUGGCGAGGUUAAGCCCCUCUGGGGCGGAGCCGUAGCGAAAGCGAGUCCGAAUAGGGCGAUCAGUCACGGGGUGCAGACCCGAAGCCAGGUGAUCUACCCAUGGGCAGGGUGAAGUGCGCUUGACCGCGCACGGAGGCCCGAACCCGUAGGUCGUGCAACGCCUUGGGAUGACCUGUGGGUAGAGGUGAAAAGCCAAUCGCACCUGGUGAUAUCUGGUUCUCCCCGAAAUGGCUCUAGGGUCAGCCUCACGCCAGAGGCGGCCGGGGGUAGAGUACUGGCUGGGGAAGGGGGGCAACCUCCGACCUCAUUCAAACUCCGAAUACCGGUUCGCCGUUCCGUGGGAGUGAGACGGCGGGGGAUAACCUCCGUUGUCGAGGGCGAAACAACGCAGACCACCAGCUAAGGCCCCCAAAUCCAGGCUAAGUGGGCAAGGCGGUGUGAUCGCAUAUACAGCUGGGAGGUUGGCUUAGAAGCAGCCAUCCUUCAAAGAGUGCGUAAUAGCUCACCAGUCUAGCGAUCGCGCGCCGAAGAUGUACCGGGGCUAAGCCUGGUGCCGAAGCUGUGGGUGGAGCCCGUAAGGGCUCUGCGGUAGGGGAGCAUUCUGCGCUAGGUUGAAGCCGGGCCGCGAGACCCGGUGGACGAUGCAGAAGGGAGAAUGCCGGCUUGAGUAGCGAGAGAUGGGUGAGAAUCCCAUCCACCGAAUGCCCAAGGGUUCCUGGGGAAGGCUUAUCCACCCAGGGUUAGGCGGGCCUUAGCCGAAGCCGAAAGGCGUAGGUGAUGGACAGCCGGUCAACAUUCCGGCCCCUCCAGAUCCGCGUUAUGAGCAAAGGGGGGACGCCGCAGGAGCUUCUCCGCAGGUUCACGGUUAUACCUGUCCAAGCGUCAAGUCAGAGGGGGCAGACAAAUCCACCCCCUCGCAACCGUCUUGUCUCGCCUUCGGGCGAGGCGGGACGAACAGGCGAGACGUGACGGCGAGCCCCGUAAGGGGCGAAGGGAGACAGGUUCAGCGGCCAAGAAAAGCCCCUAGCCAGUUGGUCUGGAGUCCGUACCGCAAACCGACACUGGUGGGCGAGGAGAGUAUCCAAAGGUGGGCGAGCUAACCUUUGUCAAGGAACUCGGCAAAAUUGCCCCGUAACUUCGGGACAAGGGGCGCCUCCUGGGUUGCCGCAAGGUGGUCUGGGAGGCCGAAGAGAAUCGGCUCAAGCGACUGUUUACCAAA